rnacentral:rRNA from 1 species
UACGUAGGGUGCAAGCGUUAAUCGGAAUUACUGGGCGUAAAGCGUGCGCAGGCGGUUGUGCAAGACAGAUGUGAAAUCCCCGGGCUUAACCUGGGAACUGCAUUUGUGACUGCAUCGCUGGAGUGCGGCAGAGGGGGAUGGAAUUCCGCGUGUAGCAGUGAAAUGCGUAGAUAUGCGGAGGAACACCGAUGGCGAAGGCAUCCCCUGGGCCUGCACUGACGCUCAUGCACGAAAAGCGUGGGGAGCAAACAGG